AGAAACAUCGUUAAACAUUAUUGCGUUAGUUCAUCUAUCAACUGAGAAGGGGUUUUAGUUAAACAAUUGUAUAAACUCUUUACAAUCAGUGCUUAGUUUACAGUGCAGAGAAAGAAUACUGGAGUCCUUCAACCAUUGAAAUAAACGGGCUUCGAUUGAACCCUCGAUUGCGCGAAUGUUCAAUAAUUACAAGUAAAAAUAAACACACCAAAAGUUAUCUCCUUCUUAUUACAUCAAAAUUACGAGGUUAGCAAGUUACAUUAGUUUGUUAACUAACUCCUAUGCUAGUCGAGCUGCAAUCGAAAAUUCAAGCCGCCAUGUUUGUGUCCAAACGAAAUUGGAGGCUAAACCAUUUCUCACUAAGGCACAAUUUAACUAUUCACUUUGAACUUUUAUUUAAUUCUAAAAAAAACAAAUCCCUCCUAAAACGGCUAAAGUGGUCUUAGCCGCAUAUUGUUAUCUACUAACAAAUAACAAACUGAAAUGGCUACAUUUGGCAACACUCAAAAAUAUGCCUAUCGGUAAUCGACCUUAUUCUCUUGUAGUAAGGUACUUUUUACAACGUCAUGUUUCUUAUGUAGUCAGUGUUGAGUAGUUGAAUAGAUUAGGGUUGUUUAAUAACUAUUGUUAACAGAUUUUGUGAUUUGGUAGCAUUUGAGUGAAGCCAAAAUGUACCAUUCUAGGGAUCCUUGUACUAAGCAUUGUAAACUCAUUGACUUAUUGCGAUGGUGUUGGUACACUAUUGUUGUUUAUGUAAGCGAUAUCUAUUUAGAAUUUGAAUUGCGACAUAUUUAGAAUUUAGUUUUAUUAUUUUAUGUACAAUAUAUUUAAUUGGAGCCAUUUAAUUAACGAACACAAAGAUGGGUACUUACCGUUAUUUUGUUGGUAUAACUGAUACGUACAUAAGAUAUAAACAUUCCAUUGCAUGCGUUUUAAUUCGUUUCAUAUAAUUAUUGCUUCAUAGCAAGACGAAAAUAUAAUACCUACUCAAUAAAAUGUCCACUUUGAUAUAAAAGAGGAAAUUAAUAGAUACUCCGAAUAUUUCUCGAACCAGUCAUUUUACAUGGCAAUUAUUCAUAUACCUUCGCUGUCAUGGGUCGCUAAAAGAGCCUGGGCCAUAACCGCGAAAAUCGAAGUUCGCAAAUUGCGGGGAUUUUUCUCUGUCACUCUAAUUACGCCUUCGUUGGAGUAAAAGAGAAAGAUUCCCGCAAUUUACGAAUUUCGGUUUUCGCGGUAGCCGCUCUGAAGUCUAACCCCCUUAUGCAUAAACGCGCUACAAACCUCAAUUAGCUAAUAAUCGUUUGUCCUUGUUUGUCAUAAGCAUUUGUAAGAAAGGGAUAAAACAUAGUUUAACUAAAUCGGGCCCGUAAAGUUUUAUGAAUAAGGGGGCUAUAAUAUGUGACGUCACACGGGUAAAGGUACCUUUUGCCGUGGAACGUUACAUAUAAAUAUAUUAGAGUGUUUACGAUAGAAACUACCAUCUGACAUCCAACCCAGAGGGGAAAUUAGGCCUUGUUGGGAUUAGUCUGGUUUCUGUACGAUACUUUCAAGGCAGAUGGUACCAUCGCCCACACUGUUAACUGUCCAUCGGUGGACUUUAUUCCAAAAGGCAUAAGGUCCACCAAUGGACAGUUAAGAGUAUUUAUGCUCGUAUGUAAUUUUAAAUCAUAACUUAGAUUUUUAUUGCCACUGUAGGUAGGUAUUGCUGUAUUUCAAACCUUAUGGGUGUUGCUCUGAUUAGUUUGUCAUUCGACUUAUAUGUAUGCAAUUAAACUUGUUAUGAGAAAAAAAGCAAAUGAUUAAAUAGACGGUUGUUUGUCAGUAUUAUAAUGGAAUGCAAUGGCUAAAAUAAUGACAUUUGCCCUGUAGAAAACUCACGAAUAUACACCGUGUUUUUUUUUAUGUCCGUUAAUUUCGAGGGUGCAUUCCUGAGCUUAAAUUAAGUAACUUUCUCAAAGACACCGAUUUUCUAAUUAACUCCAUUUCGGAGAUAAUCAAUAAUUUAUUUUUUUCCUAUAAGGCCUCUACAAGCGUGUACACUUUACUUAGGGCUGGUUUACAUAUUGGUUAGUGUUAAGAAUGAGUUCAUACAUUUGCUACUAAACUUAAGUACAAUCUCGGUCGAUCGAUGUUCGAAAUGACAUUGAUAUGUCACAGAUUUCAAUUGUUUGGUUGAGUUAAAUGUAAUGCCCGUGUUACAACAACGCUAUAUGCUAUAUUUAAUUACUUUUUA